rnacentral:rRNA from 1 species
GACGAACGCUGGCGGCGUGCUUAACACAUGCAAGUCGAACGGAAAGGCCCUUCGGGGUACUCGAGUGGCGAACGGGUGAGUAACACGUGGGUGAUCUGCCCUGCACUUUGGGAUAAGCCUGGGAAACUGGGUCUAAUACCGAAUAGGACCACGCGCUUCAUGGUGUGUGGUGGAAAGCUUUUGCGGUGUGGGAUGGGCCCGCGGCCUAUCAACUUGUUGGUGGGGUAAUGGCCUACCAAGGCGACGACGGGUAGCCGGCCUGAGAGGGUGACCGGCCACACUGGGACUGAGAUACGGCCCAGACUCCUACGGGAGGCAGCAGUGGGGAAUAUUGCACAAUGGGCGCAAGCCUGAUGCAGCGACGCCGCGUGAGGGAUGACGGCCUUCGGGUUGUAAACCUCUUUCAAUAGGGACGAAGCGCAAGUGACGGUACCUAUAGAAGAAGCACCGGCCAACUACGUG